rnacentral:rRNA from 1 species
AACGAACGCUGGCGGCAGGCCUAACACAUGCAAGUCGAGCGAGGACUUCGGUUCUAGCGGCGGACGGGUGAGUAACGCGUGGGAAUGUGCCCUUCUCUACGGAAUAGCCCUGGGAAACUGGGAGUAAUACCGUAUACGCCCUAUUGGGGAAAGAUUUAUCGGAGAAGGAUCAGCCCGCGUUGGAUUAGGUAGUUGGUGGGGUAAUGGCCUACCAAGCCGACGAUGCAGAGCUGGUUUGAGAGGAUGAUCAGCCACACUGGGACUGAGACACGGCCCAGACUCCUACGGGAGGGAGCAGUGGGGAAUCUUAGACAAUGGGGGCAACCCUGAUAAAGCCAUGCCGGGUAAGUGAUGAAGGCCUUAGGGUUGUAAAGCUCUUUCAGCUGGGAAGAUAAUGACGGUACCAGCAGAAGAAGCCCCGGCUAACUCCGUG